AUUGAACGCUGGCGGCAGGCUUAACACAUGCAAGUCGAGCGGAGAUGAGGUGCUUGCACCUUAUCUUAGCGGCAGACGGGUGAGUAAUGCUUAGGAAUCUGCCUAUUAGUGGGGGACAACAUUCCGAAAGGAAUGCUAAUACCGCAUACGUCCUACGGGAGAAAGCAGGGGAUCUUCGGACCUUGCGCUAAUAGAUGAGCCUAAGUCGGAUUAGCUAGUUGGUGGGGUAAAGGCCUACCAAGGCGACGAUCUGUAGCGGGUCUGAGAGGAUGAUCCGCAACACUGGGACUGAGACACGGCCCAGACUCCUACGGGAGGCAGCAGUGGGGAAUAUUGGACAAUGGGGGGAACCCUGAUCCAGCCAUGCCGCGUGUGUGAAGAAGGCCUUAUGGUUGUAAAGCACUUUAAGCGAGGAGGAGGCUACUGAGACUAAUACUCUUGGAUAGUGGACGUUACUCGCAGAAUAAGCACCGGCUAACUCUGUGCCAGCCGCCGCCGUAAAAC
rnacentral:rRNA from 1 species